rnacentral:rRNA from 1 species
CCCUUAGAUGUUCUGGGCCGCACGCGCGCUACACUGAUGCAUUCAACGAGUCUAAAACCUGCUCUGAUUGGGGUGGGUAAUCUUUUGAAUGUGCAUCGUGAUUGGGAUAGAUGAUUGCAAUUUUUCAUCUUCAACGAGGAAUGCCUAGUAAACGCAAGUCAUCAGCUUGCAUUGAUUACGUCCCUGCCCUUUGUACACACCGCCCGUCGCUCCUACCGAUUGAAUGAUCCGAUGAAUAUCAUGGAUUGAGGAUGCAAGCAGGUUCGCCUGUCUUCAUCUUCGAGAAGUGAAGUAAAUCUUAUCAUUUAGAGGAAGGAGAAGUCGUAACA